GUGGGGAAUAUUGGACAAUGGGGGGAACCCUGAUCCAGCCAUGCCGCGUGUGUGAAGAAGGCCUUUUGGUUGUAAAGCACUUUAAGCGAGGAGGAGGCUACCGAGAUUAAUACUCUUGGAUAGUGGACGUUACUCGCAGAAUAAGCACCGGCUAACUCUGUGCCAGCAGCCGCGGUAAUACAGAGGGUGCAAGCGUUAAUCGGAUUUACUGGGCGUAAAGCGCGCGUAGGUGGCCAAUUAAGUCAAAUGUGAAAUCCCCGAGCUUAACUUGGGAAUUGCAGUCGAUGCUGGUUGGCUAGAGUAUGGGAGAGGAUGGUAGAAUUCCAGGUGUAGCGGUGAAAUGCGUAGAGAUCUGGAGGAAUACCGAUGGCGAAGGCAGCCAUCUGGCCUAAUACUGACACUGAGGUGCGAAAGCAUGGGGAGCAAACAGGAUUAGAAACCCGAGUAGUCC
rnacentral:rRNA from 1 species